rnacentral:tRNA from 38 species
GGAAUAGCUCAGUUGGUAGAGCACGACCUUGCCAAGGUCGGGGUCGCGAGUUCGAGUCUCGUUUCC